rnacentral:rRNA from 1 species
CACUAUCGUUAACUGAAUACAUAGGUUAACGAGGCGAACCGGGGGAACUGAAACAUCUAAGUACCCCGAGGAAAAGAAAUCAACCGAGAUUCCCCCAGUAGCGGCGAGCGAACGGGGAGCAGCCCAGAGUCUGAAUCAGCUUGUGUGUUAGUGGAACGGUCUGGAAAGUCCGACGGUACAGGGUGAUAGUCCCGUACACCAAAAUGCACAGGCUGUGAACUCGAAGAGUAGGGCGGGACACGUGGUAUCCUGUCUGAAUAUGGGGGGACCAUCCUCCAAGGCUAAAUACUCCUGACUGACCGAUAGUGAACCAGUACCGUGAGGGAAAGGCGAAAAGAACCCCGGCGAGGGGAGUGAAAAAGAACCUGAAACCGUGUACGUACAAGCAGUGGGAGCACCUUCGGGUGUGACUGCGUACCUUUUGUAUAAUGGGUCAGCGACUUAUAUUCUGUAGCAAGGUUAACCGUAUAGGGGAGCCGCAGGGAAACCGAGUCUUAACUGGGCGUUAAGUUGCAGGGUAUAGACCCGAAACCCGGUGAUCUAGCCAUGGGCAGGUUGAAGGUUGGGUAACACUAACUGGAGGACCGAACCGACUAAUGUUGAAAAAUUAGCGGAUGACUUGUGGCUGGGGGUGAAAGGCCAAUCAAACCGGGAGAUAGCUGGUUCUCCCCGAAAGCUAUUUAGGUAGCGCCUCGUGAACUCAUCUUCGGGGGUAGAGCACUGUUUCGGCUAGGGGGUCAUCCCGACUUACCAACCCGAUGCAAACUACGAAUACCGAAGAAUGUUAUCACGGGAGACACACGGCGGGUGCUAACGUCCGUCGUGAAGAGGGAAACAACCCAGACCGCCAGCUAAGGUCCCAAAGUCAUGGUUAAGUGGGAAACGAUGUGGGAAGGCACAGACAGCCAGGAUGUUGGCUUAGAAGCAGCCAUCAUUUAAAGAAAGCGUAAUAGCUCACUGGUCGAGUCGGCCUGCGCGGAAGAUGUAACGGGGCUAAACCAUGCACCGAAGCUGCGGCAGCGACACUAUGUGUUGUUGGGUAGGGGAGCGUUCUGUAAGCCUGCGAAGGUGUGCUGUGAGGCAUGCUGGAGGUAUCAGAAGUGCGAAUGCUGACAUAAGUAACGAUAAAGCGGGUGAAAAGCCCGCUCGCCGGAAGACCAAGGGUUCCUGUCCAACGUUAAUCGGGGCAGGGUGAGUCGACCCCUAAGGCGAGGCCGAAAGGCGUAGUCGAUGGGAAACAGGUUAAUAUUCCUGUACUUGGUGUUACUGCGAAGGGGGGACGGAGAAGGCUAUGUUAGCCGGGCGACGGUUGUCCCGGUUUAAGCAUGUAGGCUGAUUGUCCAGGCAAAUCCGGAUAAUCAAGGCUGAGGUGUGAUGACGAGGCACUACGGUGCUGAAGUAACAAAUGCCCUGCUUCCAGGAAAAGCCUCUAAGCAUCAGGUAACAUCAAAUCGUACCCCAAACCGACACAGGUGGUCAGGUAGAGAAUACCAAGGCGCUUGAGAGAACUCGGGUGAAGGAACUAGGCAAAAUGGUGCCGUAACUUCGGGAGAAGGCACGCUGGUGUGUAGGUGAAGCCCCUGCGGGUGGAGCUGAGACCAGUCGAAGAUACCAGCUGGCUGCAACUGUUUAUUAAAAACACAGCACUGUGCAAACACGAAAGUGGACGUAUACGGUGUGACGCCUGCCCGGUGCCGGAAGGUUAAUUGAUGGGGUUAUCCGUAAGGAGAAGCUCUUGAUCGAAGCCCCGGUAAACGGCGGCCGUAACUAUAACGGUCCUAAGGUAGCGAAAUUCCUUGUCGGGUAAGUUCCGACCUGCACGAAUGGCGUAAUGAUGGCCAGGCUGUCUCCACCCGAGACUCAGUGAAAUUGAACUCGCUGUGAAGAUGCAGUGUACCCGCGGCAAGACGGAAAGACCCCGUGAACCUUUACUAUAGCUUGACACUGAACAUUGAGCCUUGAUGUGUAGGAUAGGUGGGAGGCUUUGAAGCGUGGACGCCAGUCUGCGUGGAGCCAACCUUGAAAUACCACCCUUUAAUGUUUGAUGUUCUAACGUUGGCCCCUGACCGGGGUUGCGGACAGUGUCUGGUGGGUAGUUUGACUGGGGCGGUCUCCUCCCAAAGCGUAACGGAGGAGCACGAAGGUUAGCUAAUCCUGGUCGGACAUCAGGAGGUUAGUGCAAUGGCAUAAGCUAGCUUGACUGCGAGCGUGACGGCGCGAGCAGGUGCGAAAGCAGGUCAUAGUGAUCCGGUGGUUCUGAAUGGAAGGGCCAUCGCUCAACGGAUAAAAGGUACUCCGGGGAUAACAGGCUGAUACCGCCCAAGAGUUCAUAUCGACGGCGGUGUUUGGCACCUCGAUGUCGGCUCAUCACAUCCUGGGGCUGAAGUAGGUCCCAAGGGUAUGGCUGUUCGCCAUUUAAAGUGGUACGCGAGCUGGGUUUAGAACGUCGUGAGACAGUUCGGUCCCUAUCUGCCGUGGGCGCUGGAGAAUUGAGGGGGGCUGCUCCUAGUACGAGAGGACCGGAGUGGACGCAUCACUGGUGUUCGGGUUGUCAUGCCAAUGGCACUGCCCGGUAGCUAAAUGCGGAAGAGAUAAGUGCUGAAAGCAUCUAAGCACGAAACUUGCCCCGAGAUGAGUUCUCCCUGAGACUUUAAGUCUCCUGAAGGAACGUUGAAGACGACGACGUUGAUAGGCCGGGUGUGUAAGCGCAGCGAUGCGUUGAGCUAACCGGUACUAAUGAACCGUGAGGCUUAACCUU